rnacentral:rRNA from 1 species
AUUGAACGCUGGCGGCAUGCCUAACACAUGCAAGUCGAACGGUAACAGGUUAAGCUGACGAGUGGCGAACGGGUGAGUAAUGUAUCGGAACGUGCCCAGUCGUGGGGGAUAACUACUCGAAAGAGUGGCUAAUACCGCAUACGACCUGAGGGUGAAAGCGGGGGACCGUAAGGCCUCGCGCGAUUGGAGCGGCCGAUAUCAGAUUAGCUAGUUGGUGGGGUAAAAGCCUACCAAGGCGACGAUCUGUAGCUGGUCUGAGAGGACGACUAGCCACACUGGGACUGAGACACGGCCCAGACUCCUACGGGAGGCAGCAGUGGGGAAUUUUGGACAAUGGACGCAAGUCUGAUCCAGCCAUGCCGCGUGCGGGAAGAAGGCCUUCGGGUUGUAAACCGCUUUUGUCAGGGAAGAAACGAGUUUCUCUAAUACAGAGACUUAAUGACGGUACCUGAAGAAUAAGCACCGGCUAACUACGUGCCAGCCGCCGCCGUAACAC